UCUCCGUAGGUGAACCUGCGGAGGGAUCAUUACAGAGUUCUCGCCCUCGCGGGUAGAUCUCCCACCCACUGUUAUCGUUACUGUGUUGCUUUGGCGGGCCGUCGGGCCCCGCUCGGCCGCCGGCUCCGGCUGGCGCGCGCCCGCCAGAGGCCCAGCAAACUCUGAAUGUUAGUGUCGUCUGAGUACUAUAUAAUAGUUAAAACUUUCAACAACGGAUCUCUUGGUUCUG
rnacentral:misc_RNA from 1 species